AAAAUGUGCAUGAUGCAU
rnacentral:misc_RNA from 1 species